AACGAACGCUGGCGGCAUGCCUAACACAUGCAAGUCGAACGAGACCUUCGGGUCUAGUGGCGCACGGGUGCGUAACGCGUGGGAACCUGCCCUUAGGUUCGGAAUAACUCCCCGAAAGGGGUGCUAAUACCGGAUAAUGUCUUCGGACCAAAGAUUUAUCGCCUUUGGAUGGGCCCGCGUUGGAUUAGCUAGUUGGUAGGGUAAAAGCCUACCAAGGCGACGAUCCAUAGCUGGUCUGAGAGGAUGAUCAGCCACACUGGGACUGAGACACGGCCCAGACUCCUACGGGAGGCAGCAGUGGGGAAUAUUGGACAAUGGGCGAAAGCCUGAUCCAGCAAUGCCGCGUGAGUGAUGCAGGCCUUAGGGUUGUAAAGCUCUUUUACCCGGGAUGAUAAUGACAGUACCGGGAGAAUAAGCGCCGGCUAACUCCGUG
rnacentral:rRNA from 1 species